CUUAGGUGAAAAGCUCUCGGAUUUUCCCCAUUGAGGAUGAUAUUUGCUGUGAGUUUUUCAUGGAUGGCUUUUAUGAUAUUGAGUGUAUCACAUUGAUUUGUGGAUGUUGAACCACCCUUGCAGCCCAGGAAUAAAUCCCACUUGGUCGUGGUGAAUAAUCCUUUUAAUGGACUGUUGGAUCCUCUUGGCUACUAUUUUGGGAGAGACACAGCAAGAGAAGGAACACAAGCAGGGGGAGUGGGAGAGGGAGAAGCAGGCUUCCCACUGAGCAGGGAGCCCGAUGUGGGACUCCAUCCCAGGACCCUGGAUCAUGACCUAAGCUGGAGGUAGAUGCUUAACGACUGAGCCACCCAGGCGCCCCUGAUUACUGCUUCAGUUUUCUUGCUGGUUAUCAGUCUGUUCAGGUUUUCUAUUUCUUCCUGUUUCAGUUUUGUUUUAUACAUCUCUAGGAAUGCGUCCAUUUCUUCCAGAUUGCCUAAUUUGUUGGCAUAUAGUUACUCAUAAUAUGCUCUUAUAAUUGUUUGUAUUUCUUUGGUGUUGGUUGUGACCUCUCCUCUUUCAUUCAUGAUUUUAUUUAUUUGGGUCCUUUCUCUUUCUUUUUGAAAAAAGAUUAAAAAAAAUUAAUGUUUAAAGACUAAAGAAUCAUGGGGAAAAUCCAUGAAUUCUAUGU